GAUGAAGAACGCAGCGAAAUGCGAUAAGUAAUGUGAAUUGCAGAAUUCAGUGAAUCAUCGAAUCUUUGAACGCACCUUGCGCCCUUUGGCUAUUCCGAAGGGCAUGCCUGUUUGAGUAUCGUGAACACCUCAACUCUCAUGGUUUGCCAUGAUGAGCUUGGACUUGGGGGUUUUGCUGGCCUUCGGUCGGCUCCUCUCAAACGGAUCAGCUUUCCAGUGUUUGGUGGCGUCACGGGUGUGAUAACUAUCUACGCCUGUGGUUUUCUGCCAGAUAACCUUCAGCGAUGGAGGUUCGCUGGGGCUCAUAAAUGUCUCUCUUCAGUGGAGACAGCUUUUUGGACGUUUGAUCUCAAAUCAGGUAGGACUACCCGCUGAACUUAAGCAUAUCAAAAAGCGGAGGA
rnacentral:misc_RNA from 1 species